CCCUUAGAUGUCCUGGGCCGCACGCGCGCUACACUGACAUGUUCAACAAGCCUCCUAGUUCGACAGGAUUUGGGAAAUCUUUGAACGCAUGUCGUGAUAGGGAUAGAUCAUUGCAAUUAUUGAUCUUGAACGAGGAAUUCCUAGUAAACGCGAGUCAUCAGCUCGCAUUGAUUACGUCCCUGCCCUUUGUACACACCGCCCGUCGCACCUACCGAUUGAAUGUUUCGGUGAAGAUUCCGGAUAGGACUUUUUUGAUUUAUUUCAAUUUUGUCUUAAAAGCUAUCUAAACCUCAUCAUUUAGAGGAAGGUGAAGUCGUAACA
rnacentral:rRNA from 1 species